rnacentral:tRNA from 1 species
GGGGUUGUAGUUCAGUGGUAGAGUGCUUGUCUCGCAUGCAUGGGGCACUGAGUUCGAUCCUCAGCACCA